GUGCAUUCUAAUGAGCUGUUUACAAGUCUGUCUCCCCAGAGGACAGGAGCUCCUUUAGGCCUUCAAGGUGUAGACUUUACUUAGGAAUAGAUGGAAGAGGAGGAUAUUCCAAGAAAGGGGAAGAAGUACCUGAACAAUUAAAAUGAGCACAGUCCAGAUGGAAGAUGGAAGAUGAUACUCCAUUAGUCUAAAUUACUGUUCUAGUAAGUGGAGAAUUCCCCAAGCUGUUUGCUUUGCUGCCAGUCAGUCCUGUCAGGUGAAACAGAGAAUGAUAAACAAAGUAGGAAAUAA